UAGGGAAUAUUGCACAAUGGGGGAAACCCUGAUACAGCGACGCCGCGUGAAGGAAGAAGUAUCUCGGUAUGUAAACUUCUAUCAGCAGGGAAGACAAUGACGGUACCUGACUAAGAAGCCCCGGCUAACUACGUGCCAGCAGCCGCGGUAAUACGUAGGGGGCAAGCGUUAUCCGGAUUUACUGGGUGUAAAGGUGCGUAGGUGGCAAGGCAAGUCAGAUGUGAAAGCCCGGGGCUCAACCCCGGUACUGCAUUUGAAACUGUCUGGCUGGAGUGCAGGAGAGGUAAGCGGAAUUCCUAGUGUAGCGGUGAAAUGCGUAGAUAUCGCGCAGAACUCCGAUUGCGAAGGCAGCAUACCGGCUCCAUACUGACGCUGAGGCACGAAAGCGUGGGUAUCGAACAGGAUUAGAUACCC
rnacentral:rRNA from 1 species